rnacentral:rRNA from 1 species
GACGAACGCUGGCGGCGUGCUUAACACAUGCAAGUCGAACGGAAAGGCCCUGCUUUUGUGGGGUGCUCGAGUGGCGAACGGGUGAGUAACACGUGAGUAACCUGCCCUUGACUUUGGGAUAACUUCAGGAAACUGGGGCUAAUACCGGAUAGGAGCUCCUGCUGCAUGGUGGGGGUUGGAAAGUUUCGGCGGUUGGGGAUGGACUCGCGGCUUAUCAGCUUGUUGGUGGGGUAGUGGCUUACCAAGGCUUUGACGGGUAGCCGGCCUGAGAGGGUGACCGGCCACAUUGGGACUGAGAUACGGCCCAGACUCCUACGGGAGGCAGCAGCGGGGAAUAGUGCACAAUGGGCGGAAGCCUGAUGCAGCAACGCCGCGUGCGGGAUGACGGCCUUCGGGUUGUAAACCGCUUUCGCCUGUGACGAAGCGUGAGUGACGGUAAUGGGUAAAGAAGCACCGGCUAACUACGUG